GCGCUGGGAAAGCGGCGGCGGCGGCGGCGGCGGUGGCGGCGAGAGCGACUCGGGAAAGCAUGAACGGCUGCGGGCUCUUCUUGCGCUCGGCGGCGGCGGCGCGCUCGUGCCGUGCCCUGGUGGCCUUCACCGCGAGUCGGCGCCCGCUGCGCACCAGUCCACCGAGCCAAGCUUUCGCCAAGGAGCUCUUCCUGGGCAAAAUCGAGAAGAAAGAAGUUUUCCCAUUUCCAGAAGUUAGCCAAGAUGAACUUAAUGAAAUUAAUCAGUUUGUGGGACCUGUAGAAAAAUUCUUCACUGAAGAGGUGGACUCUCAAAAAAUCGACCGGGAGGGAAAAAUCCCAAAUGAAACUUUAGAGAAACUGAAGAGCCUGGGGCUUUUUGGGAUGCAAGUCCCAGAAGAAUACGGUGGCCUGGGCCUCUCCAACACCAUGUACGCGCGGCUGGGGGAGAUCAUCAGCCUGGAUAGCUCCAUCGCCGUGACGCUGGCAGCACACCAGGCCAUCGGCCUCAAGGGCAUCAUCUUGGCCGGCAGCGAGGAGCAGAAGGCCAGGUACCUGCCCAGGCUGGCGUCCGGGGAGCACGUGGCCGCCUUCUGCCUGACGGAGCCGGCCAGUGGGAGCGAUGCCGCCUCCAUCCGGACCAGGGCCGCGUUAAGUGAAGAUAAGAAGCACUACGUCCUCAACGGCUCCAAGGUCUGGAUCACCAAUGGAGGACUGGCCAGUGUUUUUACUGUGUUUGCAAAGACAGAGGUUGUUGAUUCUAACGGCUCAGUAAAGGACAAGGUCACAGCGUUCAUAGUAGAGAGAGACUUUGGUGGAGUCACCAGCGGGAAACCUGAGGAUAAGUUAGGCAUCCGAGGCUCCAACACCUGCGAGGUCCACUUUGAGAACACCAGGGUGCCCGUGGGAAACGUCCUCGGAGAAGUUGGAGGCGGCUUUAAGGUGGCCAUGAACAUCCUCAACAGCGGGCGGUUCAGCAUGGGCAGUGCCGUGGCCGGGAUGCUCAAGACGCUGAUCGAAAUGACCGCCGAGUACGCCUGCACCAGGAAGCAGUUCAACAGGAACCUCAGCGAGUUUGGAUUGAUUCAGGAGAAGUUUGCCCUGAUGGCUCAGAAGGCUUACGUGAUGGAAAGCAUGGCCUACCUCACGGCAGGGAUGCUGGACCAGCCGGGCUUUCCUGACUGCUCCAUCGAGGCCGCCACGGUCAAGGUGUUCAGCUCCGAGGCCGCGUGGCAGUGCGUGAGCGAGGCGCUCCAGAUCCUCGGGGGCUCGGGCUACAUGAGGGACUACCCGUACGAGCGCAUCCUGCGCGACAGCCGCAUCCUGCUUAUCUUCGAGGGAACCAACGAGAUUCUCCGGAUGUACAUCGCCCUGACAGGCUUGCAGCAUGCCGGCCGCAUCCUGACUGCAAGGGUCAAGCAGCUUAAACAGGGCAAUGUGACCACCAUCCUGGAGACUGUCGGCCAGAGGCUUCGGGACUCCCUGGGCCGAACUGUGGACCUUGGGCUGACAGGGAAGCUCGGAGUCGUGCACCCCAGCAUGGCGGAUGGUGCCCACAAGCUCGAGCAGAACGUGCACUACUUCAGCCGCACCGUGGAGACCCUGCUGCUUCGCUUUGGCAAGACCAUCGUGGAGGAGCAGCUGGUCUUGAAGCGAGUGGCCAACGUCCUCAUCAACCUGUACGGGAUGACGGCCGUGCUGUCGCGGGCCAGCCGCUCUAUCCGCGUGGGGCUCCAGAACCACGACCACGAGGUUCUGUUGGCCAACAUCUUCUGCACGGAAGCUUACCACCAGAAUCUCUGCACCCUGUCUCAGCUGGACAAGCAUUCUCCAGAAAAUCUCGAUGAACUGAUCAAGAAAGUGUCCCAGCAGGUCCUGGAGAAGCGAGCCUACGUCUGUGCCCACCCUCUGGACCGGCCGUCCUGAAGCAGGGGGUCAGCGUCCCUGCUGCUGUCUGCCCGACACACACCUUCCAGAAGAGAAACCAAGCCCAGAGCCGGGGCGGGACCUGCCCCCCGUCAUACAGCAAGUGACGAAUCCAGCUGGAACCAGAAGUUCCAGCCCAGCCUGCGCUGUGACACCAGCCCCCCCGCCCCCCCACCCCGAAUCCUGAUUUCCCAGCCCAGGAGUGUGGCUGCUAAACAGAACGGGUACCGCCCGCGGUUACCUGUCCUGGGCUUUGGCGCCGGAGGGGGCGGCAGCUCCAAGAACGGCGGCGGCUGCGUGUACAGAUCGAAGUCCUGGUGGCGCCGGUCCCAGCCCCAGCUCUCUCGGUGCAGCGCCGGCUCCAGCACGUUAGCAAACAGUGCCUUCUCCCUCCACUCCUACGUUGGGGGGCAGCAGGUCAGGGGGAGGCCCCUGCGGAUGCCCGCCGGAGACCCACUCCCGCCACCCACCUCUGUGACGGCGCCGGGGGGUGGCAGCCCCAAGUGAUGUGUCCUGCCCGUGCUGUGAAGACCGGUCACUUGGAAGCCGCUGGGUGUGAGCCAGGCGUCGCGGGACUUCCUCUCGGCUUUUCUCUUCUCCUCCUCUGAAUCCUGGGGCUCCACUGUGGCUGACAGGUGGCUCUGGGAGUACGUGAGUCUCUUCCUCGGCUCCUGGGAACGCGAGCAGACGUGGAUAGACGGGCUGACAGCGGACCUCGGGGGGGCGGACCGGCUGCCAGUCUUGGGGGCAGGGUGCUGGCUCCUGGCGGUGCGGGGUGCCUGCUGGUUACCAGAGCCAGGCAGCAGCCCAGCGAGGGCCACGUCCCCUUUGACAGAGCCCUUUUCUCAAGUGGUCAGGGCAGGAAGGAAGCCUAAGCCCAGGCUUUCCCUGCCGGGGUUAGGCUGCCUUUCCUAGGCAGCAAUGAAGGGCUACCAAGAGCCACGCACACGUGGACAGGUGCUGGGGGCCUCUGGGCUCAACGUGGCGUGUAGAGGGUUCACGCCUCUCUGUGCCGGCGCUCGUCCCUUGUCGGCUCCUCCCCACUCCGGAGACCCCCCACCGCCCUGCCUGGAGUGGAGGUGCGUCACUGCUCCCCACCCUGGGCCUUAACUCACCUUGGCCAUCUCUCGAUACAGCUCCUUCUUUGCAAGCUCUGUAGAGUUCAGGGUCUGGAUACUGUAGUUAUAGACAGCAUCCUUGGCCGGGGCUGAGAUCUUGAUCACCUUCACAACAGACUUGGGAGACUUCUUGCUGACCUCGUAGGCCCCCGAGAUGUUUUUCUGGAGAAAGAGACACCAGUCACUCCUCACAAGCGGCCUGCUCGCCAGCAACUGUCAGUGUGUAUCCAGCCAGCUGACCUCUGGGACACAGCUGCCCUGCAGGUACCUGUCCUGAGAGCGUAAACAGACCCCUGCCUAAAGGACCAUGGAGACAAGCCCUAACUGUGCACGUUGUAAUUCGAGGACCAAAAAAGUGGAACCCUCCUCCAUUUUCGUGGGAAUGUACAUUGGUAAAAGCCACCAUAAAGGACAGUAUCGAAGUUCCUAACAAAACUAAAAAAGAGCCCAGCCCCAGGAGCACUCCUGGGCAUCUAUCUGGAGAAACCCAUAAUUGGAAAUGAACCAGGCGCCCUGCGGUUCAUUGCAGCACUAGUUCCAACAGCCAGGACACAGAAACAACCAAAAUGUCCACCAACAGAUGACUGGAUAAGACAAUGUGGUACGUAUAUACAAUGGACUAUUACUCAGCCAUAAACAAGAAUGAAGUAACGCUACUGGCGGCAACAUGCAUGGACCUGGGAUGCGCAUACAGUAAGUGAAGUGCGUCAGAGGAAGACGAACAGCAUAUGAUACCACCUAUACCUGGGACUGAACAACAGAUACACGUGAACUCAUUUAGAAAACAGCAACACACACACACACUUGGAAAACGAACGUAGGGUUACCAAAAAGAAAAAGUGGGGGCCAAGGACAAAUUAGGAGGUUGGGCUUCAUAUACACACAAGUGUAUUUAUAUAUGUGUGUGUGUGUGUACAUAUAUAUGUGCAUAUGUGUAUGUGUGUGUGUGUGUAUAUAUAUAUAUAUAUACAUUUGAUGGAUAAUCAACAUGGACCUCCUGUAAAGCACAGGGAAAUCUGCUCAACGUUCUGCAAUAACCUAUAUGGGAAAAGAACUCAAAAUAGAAUAGAUACAUGAAUAUCAAUAAGUGAAUCAGGUUGCUGUACACCUGAAAACAGCACAACAUUGUAAAUCAACUAUACACCAACAUACCAUGAAAAUAAACAAGAAUAGCAAAGAAAUGUCUGCUCUAUUCCCCUCUGGCCUUGGGGACCUGGGCUGGUAUCACAUACCUGAAGCCUGAGCAGACUUCGGUCCCAAGGCUGUACUGUGCUGGGGAUGAGGGAGCAGGGGAGGGUGUGCUCCCAAAUGGGGCCCCCCUUGGACCUGUCUUGUCCGUUCCCCUCGGGAGGGGACCACCAUCUCCAGAUCCAGGUGGGCCCUCCUACACCUAAACGAAGCCGAGUGCACCCAAAUGACAGUGGACCCUCUGGGCUGGAGGAGCUUCGAGAAGUCACCUGGUCUGCACGUCUCCUGCAGGUGGGGGACCUCCAGCCUCCUUCCUGGGAGUCACCCUACCUAUGAAACACAGCACACAGGGCCGUUUGCAGGGGUUGCCGUUUGUCUCGGGGGGCAGGGGUGAGGCUGAAGGGGGAAGAAGUAGUGAGACCCAAGCCCUUGAGACUUCGCUCUGGCACAUUCCCCUCUAAUUCACAGCCCAGGAAGCAGACUUUCCCUAAAGCUUUUUGUUGCCAAGUAACCGAAGUUGGGCAUGAAGAAAUGCUGCCGCCUUGUGGACGUUUCCCGGAACAACUUUACAACGGGUGCUUCAGGGCACCUCAUAUUCACAAAGCCUGAAGGGCUGUUAAUAACGCCGAAUUCCAAACACAGCCGACUUUCAAAAAGCCAAUUUGAAGAGGCGAAUUUUAUACUGUUUGAAGAGGAAAAAAAACCCCGAAGAGGAAGAUGACAAGAUGCUCAACAUUGCUAAUUCUGAGAGCAGAGCCAAUGAAAACUACAGUGAGGUGUCACCUUCCACCAGUCACAAUGGCCAGCAUCAAAAAAUCUACAAGCAGUAAAUGCUGCGGUGAGCCUAGAAAAAAGGGAACCCUCUACAGUGUUGGUGGAAAAGUAAAUUGGUGCAGCCACUAUGGAGAACAGGAUGCAGGUUCCUUAAAAAACUAUUUGCAGAGUUACCGUACAAUGCAACAAUCCCACUCCUUGGCUUAUCUCUGGAGAAAACUGUAGUUGGAAAAGAUCAUGCACUCUAAUGUUCACAGCAUUACUAUUACAAUAGCCAAGACAUGGAAGCAACCUAAGUGUCCACUGACAGAUGAAUGGGUAAGGAAAACAUGGUAUAUAAACAAAACGGAGGGCUUCCCUGGUGGCACAGUGGUUAAGAAUCCACCAGCCAAUGCAGAGGACACGGGUUCGAGCCCUGGUCCGGGAAGAUCCCACAUGCCGCGCAGCAACUAAGCCCAUGUGCCACAACUACUGAGCCUGCGAUCUAGAGCCCACAAGCCACAACUGCAGAGCCUGCAUGCUGCAACUACUGAAGCCUGUGUGCCUAGAGCCCAUGCUCCGCAACAAAAGACACCACCACAAUGAGAAGCCCAUGCACCACAACGAAGAGCAGCCCCCGCUCGCUGCAACUAGAGAAAGCCCGCGUGCAGCAACGAAGACCCCCAAUGCGGCCAAAUAUAAAUACAUUAUUAAAGUAAGUAAAUAAAUACAAUGGAAUAUCAGUCAGCCAUAAGGAAGAAUGAAAUAAUGCCAUUUGCAGCAACAUGGAUCCACCUAGAGAUUAUCAUACUAAAUGAAGCAAGUCAGACAGAGAUAGACCAAUAUCAUAUGAUAUCACUUAUAUGUGGAAUCUAAAACAUGUUAUAAGUGUAAUACAGGGAACUAUACUCAAUAAUCUGUAAUAAUAUAUAUGGGAAAAGAAUCUAAGAAAGAGUGGUUAUAUGUAUAACUGAGUCAGUUUGCUGUACAGCAAAAACUAGCAACAUUGUAAAUCAACUGUACUCCAAUAAAAAAUAUAAGAACAAAAAAAAAAAACAGCAUGAGAGAAUGGGGCUUAUUUACAAAACAGAAGCAGAGUCACACAUAGAAAACAAAUUUAUGGUUACCAAAGCAGUAAGGGUGGCGAGGGA